rnacentral:tRNA from 1 species
UCCCUGGUGGUUCAGUGGCUAAGACUCUGUACUCCCAAUGCAGGGGGCUGGGUUUGAUCCCUGGUCAAGGAA